rnacentral:ncRNA from 1 species
GAAUCCGGGAGAGACUGGUUAACAGCGCCGAAGGGGAGAGAAACUCUCAGGCAAAAGGACCGGAUUU